rnacentral:rRNA from 1 species
GUUAGCGGCGGACGGGUGAGUAACACGUGGGUAACCUGCCUGUAAGACUGGGAUAACUCCGGGAAACCGGAGCUAAUACCGGAUAGUUCCUUGAACCGCAUGGUUCAAGGAUGAAAGACGGUUUCGGCUGUCACUUACAGAUGGACCCGCGGCGCAUUAGCUAGUUGGUGGGGUAAUGGCUCACCAAGGCGACGAUGCGUAGCCGACCUGAGAGGGUGAUCGGCCACACUGGGACUGAGACACGGCCCAGACUCCUACGGGAGGCAGCAGUAGGGAAUCUUCCGCAAUGGACGAAAGUCUGACGGAGCAACGCCGCGUGAGUGAUGAAGGUUUUCGGAUCGUAAAGCUCUGUUGUUAGGGAAGAACAAGUGCGAGAGUAACUGCUCGCACCUUGACGGUACCUAACCAGAAAGCCACGGCUAACUACAUGCCAGCAGCCGCGGUAAUACGUAGGUGGCAAGCGUUGUCCGGAAUUAUUGGGCGUAAAGGGCUGCGCAGGCGGGUUUCUUAAGUCCUGAUGUUGAAAGCCCCCGGGCUCAAC